GACAGAGGGUGCAAACGUUGUUCGGAAUUACUGGGCGUAAAGCGUGUGUAGGCGGUCUUGUAAGUCGGAUGUGAAAGCCCCGGGCUCAACCCGGGAAGUGCACUCGAAACUGCGAGGCUAGAGUAUCGGAGAGGUUGGUGGAAUUCUCGGUGUAGAGGUGAAAUUCGUAGAUAUCGAGAGGAACACCGGUGGCGAAGGCGGCCAACUGGACGAAUACUGACGCUGAGACACGAAAGCGUGGGGAGCAAACGGG
rnacentral:rRNA from 1 species